rnacentral:lncRNA from 1 species
UUUUUUUCAAAUAUCAUAAUCAUAUUGAGCUGAAAAUUUGAGAAUGUUUAUUAGUCCUACUAAGAUAUUAUUGUUCUUUAGUAGGUGCUAGAAAAUUGAGAAAUGAUGCUCCACUACAACAAAUAGGGUUUGUUCCAACAGUUUUUUAGCCAGCAGUUAAGCUAACUGCUGCUAAAACUAAUAUACUAGCAUUUUUUUUAUUUUUUCUAUAAUAUUUAGUAAACCACUGGUAUAGUGGUGAUAAUUUUUAAUUGUAUAAACAAUAUUGGGCCAUAUUUUAUUAGCUUAUUCAAUCAAUUGGGCCAACAUUGGGUUUAAACAAUAUUAUAAUUAUACAACCUGAGAGCUCUUGUUCAUCUAUCUCUCUCUCUCUCUCUCUCUCUCUCUCUCUCCCUUUUUCAAAUCGGAGAUCUCCACCACGAGCUCGAGCUCGAGCUGCUCUACCUAGGGAUUUUCGGAGAUUUCGCCCUCAAUCGCCUUUUCGGGCAAUUUCUCACUUGGAUCUACCCGGAGAUUGGUCUUCUUCGAAUGAUUUACCCAAAAAUUUUGGGCUAUUUGCUGCUAAAUCGACCUCAAUCCAGUUCUCUAAGAAAGGGUUUCACUAAUUUCAGCUGAUUCUAUAGCCUGAGUUUCCCAAUCACAAUAUUUCACAUUUUUUUCAAUUAUUUGGAGUUGAUUCCUUGUGAUUUGAUUUUUAUUAAGGCAUUUUGUUGUUUAAUUGCAUAUUGUAAUUGUAUAAUUUGAUUCUGUUUUAGGUUUACUGUUUUGAGUUUUUUUUUCUUUUUCUAAAUAUCCAUUGCUAGAUCUGUGAGUGGACAAAUUGAAGAGAACAACUAAUUUAUUUGCUUAUAAGAAUAGAAUGUGCAUGAAUAGGAUAGAAUAUAGGAUAUAUAUAUAUAUAGAUUGAUGUAGAUAUAAAUUAUGCAUAAUAUUGUUGCAGUGCUUUGUUGAGUCUGCGUGGUAUAGUUGCAGUUUGUAUUACUUUGCUUUGUUGAUGUAAGUGCUAAAAUAAGCCCCGGUUGAAAUGUGAUCUCUUAGGCUAGAGUUUAAGUGCUUGAAGAAUCUCUUUUAGACUUUGGAUAGGUUGGCCUGAACCACGGACGAAGCUAGCACUCGAUUAUGAGGGAGGCCAAAAUACAUAAAAAUUAAAAUUUUAGCAAAUAAACAAGAUUUACGUAGUCAAAUUUUUUAUGAGAAAAUAUAUUGGCUAAAUAAUUAGUGUAAAAAAUCAUUACCCCUUUUUAUGUAUACUUACUUAACUUCUAAUUAUUUUACUUAUAUUAUUUCACUUAAAUAACUUUGAAAUUUACUAAAUCUAAUAGCAAUUCAGUAAAUGAUUUAAUUUUUUAAUUUUUACUAAAUAUAAUUGUGACAAUAAAUAACUAUUAGUUGACAGAGCU